GAUGAACGCUGGCGGCGUGCCUAAUACAUGCAAGUCGAGCGAACGGACGAGAAGCUUGCUUCUCUGAUGUUAGCGGCGGACGGGUGAGUAACACGUGGAUAACCUACCUAUAAGACUGGGAUAACUUCGGGAAACCGGAGCUAAUACCGGAUAAUAUUUUGAACCGCAUGGUUCAAAAGUGAAAGACGGUCUUGCUGUCACUUAUAGAUGGAUCCGCGCUGCAUUAGCUAGUUGGUAAGGUAACGGCUUACCAAGGCAACGAUGCAUAGCCGACCUGAGAGGGUGAUCGGCGACACUGGAACGGAGACACGGUCCAGACUCCUACGGGAGGCAGCAGUAGGGAAUCUUCCGCAAUGGGCGAAAGCCUGACGGAGCAACGCCGCGUGAGUGAUGAAGGUCUUCGGAUCGUAAAACUCUGUUAUUAGGGAAGAACAUAUGUGUAAGUAGCUGUGCACAUCUUGACGGUACCUAAUCAGAAAGCCACGGCUAACUACGUG
rnacentral:rRNA from 1 species